ACCCUCUCAGGUUUGCACCUGGAGAGUUUCCAGUACUCUACCAGUCUGAACUAUGGGAGGAAGAAUCAAGCAGAGGCAUACCCAUUCCAUUCCUAGCUUGGCCAGUGGCUAGCGAGUGGAAGGCAAUCUGCUACAGGU
rnacentral:snoRNA from 1 species